rnacentral:rRNA from 1 species
UCGGGAAUUUUGGGCAAUGGGCGAAAGCCUGACCCAGCAACGCCGCGUGAAGGAUGAAGUAUUUCGGUAUGUAAACUUCGUAAGAAUAGGAAGAAUAAAUGACGGUACUAUUUGUAAGGUCCGGCUAACUACGUGCCAGCAGCCGCGGUAAUACGUAGGGACCAAGCGUUGUUCGGAUUUACUGGGCGUAAAGGGCGCGUAGGCGGUUUGUCAAGUCAGUUGUGAAAUCUCCGAGCUUAACUCGGAACGGUCAACUGAUACUGUCAAACUAGAGUACAGAAGGGGCAAUCGGAAUUCUUGGUGUAGCGGUGAAAUGCGUAGAUAUCAAGAGGAACACCUGAGGCGAAGGCGGGUUGCUGGGCUGAUACUGACGCUGAAGCGCGAAAGCUAGGGUAGCAAACGGGAUUAGAUACCCGCGUAUUCCCUGAGCGGGCUGGCAAGGCGCAU